rnacentral:rRNA from 1 species
AGAGUUUGAUCAUGGCUCAGAUUGAACGCUGGCGGUAUGCUUAACACAUGUAAGUCGAACGGUAACAGUCCCUCACCUAGAAAUUUCUUAAAAAGAGAUUUGUAGGUGAGGGAGCUGACGAGUGGCGGACGGGUGCGUAAUGUAUAGGAAUCUGCCUAGUAGUGGGGGACAACUCGGAGAAAUUCGAGCUAAUACCGCAUAAGCCCUACGGGGGAAAACGGGGGAUCUUCGGACCUCGUGCUAUUAGAUGAGCCUAUAUUAGAUUAGCUUGUUGGUGAGGUAAUGGCUCACCAAGGCGACGAUCUAUAGCUGGUCUGAGAGGAUGAUCAGCCACACUGGGACUGAGACACGGCCCAGACUCCUACGGGAGGCAGCAGUGGGGAAUAUUGGACAAUGGGCGAAAGCCUGAUCCAGCAAUACCGCGUGUGUGAAGAAGGCCUGAGGGUUGUAAAGCACUUUCAAUUGGGAGGAAUACCUAAUAGUUAAUAGCUAUUAGAUUGAC